CUGCACUCCAGCCUGGGUGACAGAGUGAAACUCUGUCUCAAAAAAAAAAAAUCUAUUCUUUCAAAUGUUGAAGUCAACCAAAAGUGAAAGUUAGAAACCACAAUACUCACCAUUUCCGUGUAUUUUUAAGUGAGUCAAUUAGACAAGUCCAGUAAUUGCUGAAGGCCCCUCUGAAAAAUGAGGUGAGUAUAUAUUUUGCUCAAAAGUCAGGUAAUAGGCAUUUGAGAGUAAAAAAAAUAUGAUCAUUUUCUUUAUGGAGCAGUAUGUGUGGCUGAUCAAAAGAAGAAAUAAGGGCAAUUUAUCUUCCUUUUCACAAAGAGUCUAAAGUAUGAAAUGCUAAUCAUUAAAACAAGAAAUACAGUCCAGAUCAAAACACUGUUAGGUGAUCACAUAACUAAUUGGAGAGUGAGAACCAAAGACGACUUAUUAAUGGUAAAAUCCAGAAGUGCUUUUCAAAGAGGUCAAUACCAAACGUGUGCCUUUUUUAACACCUUCACUGAGGACUUCACUAAUGCAAUAGAAAGCAUGCCGGUUAAAUGUGUGUUUGUCACUUCUUCCCUUUUGAAAUCUUCCUUUUAAAAAAUUAGAAUUAAGAAUGGUUGGCUUUCCUAAUAUUUAAUAGACAAGCCACAGAUCAGCAACAUUUGCUGUAAUCUGGCUUCACAUGAAUGAGGCAGUCCUGGAUCCCCAAAAAGCAUCAGCCUCAGCCUAAUAGUUUGUCCAUCUCUCCCAACCCCUGCUAGUAUCUUGGGAUGGUUUCAAAAGUGUUAAAAACACUGGUCUGAAAGUUCCUCUAGCACCUCAGGUAAGUGUCAUAUCUUCACCACCUCUUGAAUGCCACCAGCAUCAGAAACUGCUUGGCUCCCAGGACCUCCAACUCUGGAGAAUCCCCACUGGACAGGACUUCCAGGCCUCCAGUACCUGUACCCAUCACUAUACCUCAGCAUCAUCAUGACCUCAGCCUCAGCCAGCUGCCCCGAACCAAGAAGAGCAGUGUUCAGUGUGUAGACCUGAUGCAGUGACCAGGAGGGGUGCAUGCAGGCAGAAAGCAGAAAGCCCCACAUCCACAGCUGAUUGACAAUGAGAAUGAGACGGCUGAAAAGAAGAGGCACCAUUCCACACCAAAUGAAUGAUGGAGAGAGAAGGGUCACUGACUGGGUAACUCCCCAAGUUGUCCAAAAUAACCCCUGGAAUCAGAUGGACAAACAGGAACUUGAAUAUAAUGUCAAGAAAUCUGAGGUUUCCCUUCUCCUGAAUAUCUGGAUAAACCUGUCUCCCAUUCUCUAUCCCAGAAUCAGACCCUGAGACAGAGAUUAAGGUGCAAGUUUAGUGGGGGGCAUAUUGAACUCUGUGAGGCUCCUUGGGAUCCCCUAUACUGGCAGGUAUAUCCAUCCUCCAGCUGUGAGUAUUGGCCGCCAACACUUCACAGUUGACCGCUUUUCUGGAGAAUUGCCUUUGGCCAGACGGGCGCUGCCUCAGCUUGGAGGCUAUAUGCUACUUCACUUCAGGGAAAAGCCUCAGAAAAUGUCCAACUGAAGUAGGGGUUCCAAAGGCUGGCCCCCUUACCUGAAGGGGACACUAACUGUUACAAUUUUUGCUCUGGAAGUUCCCCCAAAGGAUUGGGCUGAAGCCAGGCCCCAGCCAGGACUGCAUCCUUGUUCAGCUCCUUUCCCUGCCCCAUCUUACAGCCCUCUCUCCUCUUCCCUGAGGACACUCCUCCACUAAAUCACAUGAACAAGA